rnacentral:rRNA from 1 species
GGGAAAAGCUCAAAUUUUGAAUCUGGCGGUCCUUGCGGCCGUCCGAGUUGUAAUCUAGAGAAGUGCUUUCCGCGCUGGACCGUGUACAAGUCUCCUGGAAGGGAGCGUCAUAGAGGGUGAGAAUCCCGUCUCUGACACGGACUACCAGGGCUUAUGUGAUGCGCUCUCGACGAGUCGAGUUGUUUGGGAAUGCAGCUCAAAUUGGGUGGUAAAUUCCAUCUAAAGCUAAAUACAGGCGAGAGACCGAUAGCGAACAAGUACCGUGAGGGAAAGAUGAAAAGAACUUUGGAAAGAGAGUUAAACAGUACGUGAAAUUGCUGAAAGGGAAACGCUUGAAGUCAGUCGCGUUGAUCGGGGAUCAGCCUUGCUUUUUUUGCUCGGUGCACUUCCUGGUCGACGGGUCAGCAUCAAUUUCGAUCGUCGGAUAAAGGCCGAGGUGAAUGUGGCACUCUUCGGAGUGUGUUAUAGCCCUCGGUUCGCAUACGGCGAUUGGGAUUGAGGAACUCAGCACGGCCCCUUUGAGGGUUUGGGGCUUCGGCUCACAUUAGCGUGCUUAGGAUGCUGGCAUAAUGGCUUUAAUCGACCCGUCUUGAAACACGGACCAAGGAGUCUAACAUGCCUGCGAGUGUUUGGGCGUUUAAAACCCGAGCGCGUAAUGAAAGUGAAAGUUGAGAUCUCUGUCGUGGAGAGCAUCGACACCCGGACCUGAGCUUCUGCAAAGGAUCUGCGGUAGAGCAUGUAUGUUGSGACCCGAAAGAUGGUGAACUAUGCCUGAAUAGGGUGAAGCCAGAGGAAACUCUGGUGGAGGCUCGUAGCGAUUCUGACGUGCAAAUCGAUCGUCGAAUUUG